UGGGGAAUUUUGGACAAUGGGCGAAAGCCUGAUCCAGCAAUGCCGCGUGUGUGAAGAAGGCCUUCGGGUUGUAAAGCACUUUUGUCCGGAAAGAAAUCCUUGGCUCUAAUACAGUCGGGGGAUGACGGUACCGGAAGAAUAAGCACCGGCUAACUACGUGCCAGCAGCCGCGGUAAUACGUAGGGUGCAAGCGUUAAUCGGAAUUACUGGGCGUAAAGCGUGCGCAGGCGGUUUGCUAAGACCGAUGUGAAAUCCCCGGGCUCAACCUGGGAACUGCAUUGGUGACUGGCAGGCUAGAGUAUGGCAGAGGGGGGUAGAAUUCCACGUGUAGCAGUGAAAUGCGUAGAGAUGUGGAGGAAUACCGAUGGCGAAGGCAGCCCCCUGGGCAAUACUGACGCUCAUGCACGAAAGCGUGGGGAGCAAACAGGAUUAGAUACCCUGGUAGUCCACGCCCUAAACGAUGUCAACUAGUUGUUGGGGAUCAUUUCCUUAGUAACGUAGCUAACGCGUGAAGUUGACCGCCUGGGGAGUACGGUCGCAAGAUUAAAACUCAAAUGAAUUGACGGGGUCAU
rnacentral:rRNA from 1 species